rnacentral:rRNA from 1 species
UAAUACAGAGGUCCCAAGCGUUGUUCGGAUUCACUGGGCGUAAAGGGUGCGUAGGCGGUUGGGUAAGUCUGUCGUGAAAUCUCCGAGCCUAACUCGGAAACUGCGUCGGAUACUAUUCAACUCGAGGAAUGGAGGGGAGACUGGAAUUCUCGGUGUAGCAGUGAAAUGCGUAGAUAUCGAGAGGAACACCAGUGGCGAAGGCGAGUCUCUGGACAUUUCCUGACGCUGAGGCACGAAAGCCAGGGGAGCAAACGGGAUUAGAUACCCCGGUAGUCCUGGCCCUAAACGGUGCAUGUUUGCUGUAAGAGGAAUCGACCCCUUUUGUGGCGAAGCUAACGCGUUAAACAUGCCGCCUGGGAAGUACGGCCGCAAGGUUA